GACGAACGCUGGCGGCGUGCUUAACACAUGCAAGUCGAACGAAGAGCGAUGGAAGCUUGCUUCUAUCAAUCUUAGUGGCGAACGGGCGAGUAACGCGUAAUCAACCUGCCCUUCAGAGGGGGACAACAGUUGGAAACGACUGCUAAUACCGCAUACGAUCUAAUCUCGGCAUCGAGGAUAGAUGAAAGGUGGCCUCUACAUGUAAGCUAUCACUGAAGGAGGGGAUUGCGUCUGAUUAGCUAGUUGGAGGGGUAACGGCCCACCAAGGCGAUGAUCAGUAGCCGGCCUGAGAGGAUGAACGGCCACAUUGGGACUGAGACACGGCCCAGACUCCUACGGGAGGCAGCAGUGGGGAAUCUUCCGCAAUGGACGAAAGUCUGACGGAGCAACGCCGCGUGAGUGAUGACGGCCUUCGGGUUGUAAAGCUCUGUUAAUCGGGACGAAAGGCCUUCUUGCGAAUAGUGAGAAGGAUUGACGGUACCGGAAUAGAAAGCCACGGCUAACUACGUG
rnacentral:rRNA from 1 species